GAUGAAGAACGUAGCGAAAUGCGAUAAGUAAUGUGAAUUGCAGAAUUCAGUGAAUCUUCGAGUCUUUGAACGCACAUUGCGCCCCCUGGUAUUCCGGGGGGCAUGCCUGUCCGAGCGUCAUUGCUGCCCUCAAGCACGGCUUGUGUGUUGGGCCCCCGUCCCCGGUUUCCCCCGGGGACGGGCCCGAAAGGCAGCGGCGGCACCGCGUCCGGUCCUCGAGCGUAUGGGGCUUUGUCACCCGCUCUGUAGGCCCGGCCGGCGCCAGCCGACACCCAACUUUAUUUCUAAGGUUGACCUCGGAUCAGGUAGGGAUACCCGCUGAACUUAAGCAUAUCAAUAAGCGGAGGA
rnacentral:misc_RNA from 1 species